UGUGUCUGCAAUUAUGUUGCCGAAACUUUAAGAGGUAGCCCCUCAGCCACAAGGGGUUACGUUUGAUGAAGACCAAUAACUUGUAUGCAAACUUCAGAUCAUUCGCACAGUCCGAUCGUCCAGAAUUAUGAUUAAAAUUGUAAAGAAAAACACAAAAAAGCCAUAAUCAGAAAUUGAUAAGCGGUGCAAUGUUUAUACUACACUUUUCAAUUUAGUCUCAGUAUAUUUUUUUUUUAUUUUACAUACCUUUCUCUUUUAAGUGUCAUAGUUGAUCUAUGUAAGAAUUUCAAAUUGUAUGGACCUCAGUUUAGUUCCUUUUAAAUUUAAAGAUUUCGCUAGCACAAAGAAAAACACCAUGUUCUUGAGAAUGACAUUUUGUCAUUUCGUUUCCUCUACUCUAGACGCGAGGCUUUUGUUCAAGCGCACUGCGAAUAAUUAUUGUCAAAUCACGAAAUAAAUCUGUAAACUUAUCAUUAUAUUCAUUCUUUAUUACAUAACUACGAGUUCAAGGAUGUGAAUUACUUGAAAUUCAAAGUGCAUUGUUUCAUGCUGAGAAACCUUGAAAUGAUGCAUACAUUUAUAAUUUGUUUCCUUAUCGAAACACGCAGACUAUAGAUUUUUGCUUUUUUAUAUCGUAUCAGGCAUAUAAUUAACAUUUAUGUUUUGUUACUGCCAAGGACAUUCUGGUUUAUAAGGAUCAGUAAUACCAGAACAAAGCCACUUAUCUAACACAUCUGCUUACAGUUAAGAAGAACGAUAACAGGGAAAGGAAAAUGCAGCAUAUGCAUUUGAAAAUUUGUUUAAGUUUAGUAUUGUUAUCAAGUGUUUGUUUUGCUUCUUUUACGUCGACAAUCUGGGAAAGGAUUGAUCCAAAACUCUGGAAGGUCGUGGAAUCAAAAAGAAUUAUUGCGCAAGCACUUAAUAGACGUCCUAUUAGGUGUAUUUUUGCCUUGAAAAAGCAUGACCCAGCCACUAAUAUCAAAGUCAUCCGGAUCCGAUUUGAAGCUGUUGGAAAUACGCUACCAG